rnacentral:tRNA from 1 species
UGGCCGGGUGGUGUAGUUGGUUAUCACGUUUCGUUAACAUUUCAAAUGUACCGAAAAGGUCCUGGGAUCGAACCCCAGCCUGGUCA